GGAGGGUGCAAGCGUUGUCCGGAUUUAUUGGGUUUAAAGGGUGCGUAGGCGGCUUAUUAAGUCAGGGGUGAAAGACUAUUGCUUAACAAUGGCAGUGCCUUUGAUACUGAUAGGCUUGAGUACAGCUGAGGCAGAUGGAACGGGUGGUGUAGCGGUGAAAUGCAUAGAUACCAUCCAGAACACCGAUUGCGAAGGCAGUCUGCUAAACUGUAACUGACGCUGAGGCACGAAAGCGUGGGGAUCGAACAGGAUUAGAUACCCUGGUAGUCCACGCCGUAAACGAUGAUGACUCGAUGUUAGGGAUAUACUCUUAGCGUCCAAGCGAAAGCGUUAAGUCAUCCACCUGGGGAGUACGCCCGCAAGGGUGAA
rnacentral:rRNA from 1 species